GUAAAAUCCUUCUCCUUUCCUUCCGUUCUUCAUCAUCUUUCUCUCUUUUUGCAAAUCUCAUUCUUCAUUUUCUCUCUUUUUGAGGCAAAGGAAAAUCUCAUUCCUCUCUUUCUCAAGCAACUCUAAUUCUUCUUUGCAAGGUCUUGGCUUAAGGUAUGGCAUCUUCUUGUUCUUUUUUUUUGGGGGGGGUUGGGUAAAUUCAUCUAUUUAGGGUUUUUUUGAAUGUUCUUAUUGUUCUCAUAGUUUUUGACAAAAAUAUACGCUUUUUUUUAUUUUUUUUGACGAAUCUCAAAUCAUGAGGCCGAAUCUCAAUUACUUAAAUAUGUAGGUCUUGCUCUUUUUCCCUGAAUUUAUAGAAUGAAAUCCCAGACAAGCAGAGCUGAUCAAAUGUUUUGAAUGUUUCUAGCAAUAAGUUGUCUGAUGUCUAGGUCACGCCUAAUAGAUGCUCAUUUUAUAAGCAAUGCGAACUUGCAUAUUAAACAAAUCAUCAAAAUAUGACAUUAUCAUUCAGUAGAAACUUUGAUUUGUUAUAUGGUUAUAGAAAUUGAGUAGGGUAGAAGUGAACCGUAUGGUCAAAACUAAGCAAAUGAGCUUUGGUUUAAGUUUGUUUUUAUACUUCUAUUGAGCUAAAUUUGUUUGAAACUACUUGGAUUCAAAGAGUAUAUACACCCAUGUCUCACACUUUUCAAUAUUCAAAACUCUCUUCUAGUCAUAUAGGAAACAUAAGCAUCCUUGCUUUCCAUAGAUGAAGAAACGAAGAGUUGAGAAAGAUGAGUGAAUUAAGGUUAUCUUGUAGAAUUUGGUGUAGGGAAUUGAUGAAGUUGGUUCAACACUAUUUGGCAGGUUGCUUGGUUUUAGUUGAUGGAUUAGUCCAAACAUCAAAACAGCUGCCAUAAUGUAAUAUUAGAUGAAAGAUGAAAGCAUCAGCAUCUUUUUCUUUUUCAAGCUAAUUAAUAUGGUUUUGGGCUUUGAGACUAUAUAGCUCCCCCAAUUCAAGCAGGGAUUUUUGUGUAAAUAAAUUACUUUUGCUCUUUUUU
rnacentral:lncRNA from 1 species